CACCAACAACUGAUAUCGUGGAUGAAUGACAUCAGAGAGUAGCACUUGAGCAACUGCAAGACCCACUGGAUGAGAAUGGGAAUCAACAAGAGCACUUACUAUUUACGAAGUGUCAGAGCAGAAAUUUUGAUAUCUACUCAGAAAUUUGCAACUAAGACUCAACGCUUACUUGAGAACAACCUGCUAUUGUAGCAAUGAAGGCAUUAUCUCACAAAAUAAACCCCACUGAAGAUACAUGUGCAACUUGAAUGCAAGGAUAACAGAGCACUGCGCUGAGAUUCUUUAACUGACAGGUGUCUGCUUCAUUAGAUAUCUGCAUAAUAAACUGUAGCAGUUACCAUAAUUCCAUCAGAGAAUUAAUGUGCUGAGAGUUGGAGAUUCUUUGGACCCUGGAGAAAAUUUCUUCAAUCUACAGUAGUGGCAAAUGGAGAAGUCGUAAGGGAGAUAUCUGCAGUGCUACUGCCUGUACUCUAUUUCUCAAUGGUCAACGUGGUUCAAUUUCCAGCUAGGACAUAAUUUGCACAAUAACCUGAAGUUGAAAUUAAUACUAAGAAACAAGCUGUACUGUGUGUAAGAAAAAUCCAUUAAGCUGUCUGCAUUAGAGGAAGAAGCUGACCAAUGGAGUUGAAGCAAAUGUGUUAUACCGUAAGAAGAAAGGUUCAGACAAAUAUCACAGGAACCAGGAUGACACUCCAAUAAGGUAACUUUAGGUUUAAUCUUAACUGCAAUUAAGAAUAUUGUUGUGAUGAUUUAUUUGUAGUACUACCUUGUCUAAAAUCCUCAAAUGAACGUAGAGCCCCAGCAUGCUAAACACUGUGUAACUGUAUCCAGAAGAUAUUACUGUCCCAGUGCAGUAUUUUAAGUAGAAAAAAGUAAUGACUGAUUGCAAGGCAGAAAAAAACAAAGUAGAGUGGCCUAAAAUCAUAGUGUUGGUCAAUGACAAAGUAAAGGAUAGAAUCCAGGUUUCUGAUAUUUGACCUUUUCUCCUUGUUACACCAUGACACCCAUGAUGUUACUAACUCUUACAUAUAUCAACCUGUUAAGUGCUACUUCAAAAGAGAAUUUGGGGAUGUACUAAAUAAAGAUUCUGAAUAGUGACAUAAAAAGUAGGAGUUAAAAAACAGUUUUUUACAUAACCAGAAGUUAGCUCUACACAGGAGAAAGAAAAUGCUUUGUCUUCAUGAAAUCAAACUUAUUUUCCUGUGUGUGUUCUACAGAAAGGUUAAAAUUCAAGGGAAACAUUUUUAUCAACAUAUUGAGUGGAGAGAUAUCACACAAUACCAAAACUUUUACUGAACAAAUAGGGUGCCUGGCAUUCUGGUGAAUGCUGCUAAGAACUGGAUAAUUUACAAAGUAUUGUUUUUGUCUUUUAAAUAUAUGUAAGGCAAAAGCUCUCUGAAUGUUAUGUAGGUCACUCUAAAUGUAAUGCACUGAGACAUGUAAAGAAAAAAACCAUAAUUACAGCCAUGCUGUGUCACUGGUGGAGAUAAUGUUGCCCAUUUACUUAAUUACCCGGGGAAAUUCAGAUAUUUACAUCUUGCUGAAGGAAGUGGCCAUCACAUGUCUCAUGCACUAAGCCCUGACUUCAUAAGGCAUUUUCUUAUAUGAGAGCUAUUCAAAUUUCCAUAUCAGUAUUUAAAUACUCAUUGACUUCAGGAAAAAGAUUAUAUAUAUGUUUUAGUGCCUAGUGACACCCAUGUCCACCUGAGUCUUGGGAGAACUUCUCCAUUCAUUGAUCAAUGAAGCAUAAUGGUUUAGAAGAACUCCUGACGUAUCGUUUGGAGCUCUGUCUUUUUCUCACUAAGAUAACAGAAGUAACCUUUCCCAGAUUUCCCAUACCGUACUUAAGUUAGCAGAACCUGCAUGACAUGUACAUCCCUAUUUUAAUACAUCUAGACCAGUUUUGUCCAGUUUGGAUGUAGGAUACUGGAGUUCAGGAGAUCAUCAGUAUCUGUCUAUUCUGCAUACUCCUAAUCAUAAAACUUGUUCCAACAAGAGCAUAAGAAUCCAAAGUAUGGAGAUUAAUUUUAAACUCUGUUUUUUCACUGAUAUUUUCUACGGACAAAGACCUUAGUUUUAAGUAUUCUGGCACAAAAUAGUAAAUUACUGUUGACUCCCUGAAAGGAAUUUUGGAGGAAUUUACCUUUUUCUUUUAGCUAUAAGGAGGAGCCUCAAGCUUAGAGUUCAAAGCUGAACAGUAAGAAAUUUACUCAUAGACAUAAGAACUCGCAUGUACAUGACUUUGGUGCUCAAUUCAAGUUAGUGACAAGAUUGCCUUUGGUCCCUUUGAAAUCUAUGUAUGUGUUAUGAGCUACAGUGAGGACAGAAAUUCUCUCUAGCUUGUCUGUUUGGACUGUGUAGAAGUAAGAAAUGUAAUCAACUUCUGACUUGCUGUGCAUGUUCACACACACUCCCCCUCAUUCCCCUCAAUGUAUAGUUGUCACAGUGUAAACAUUCUGCUAAAUAUUUCCUGCACCUGCUUCAAAGAACUAAAGAAUCAUCUCUUAACGGGAAAAAUAAAUGCACCAAAUGUCACAAUGCCUCAGGGGGGAUUGAAAAUGAUAAAACAAAUGUUGUAACAUUCUAUUUUUGAUCCAAAGGUAAACAAGUGAAAUGAUGUGUGUACAUGUGUAUACACAUAUAUUCACUCUAUCAGUCAUGUAAUCCAUCACCGAGGUUAUUGGUUAAAGGAGAAAUUGCAGUUCCAAUGUAUUUUCUAAACAUUUAAACCUUUCUCAUAAAAUUAUUUUGGGAUGAGAAAUGUCUCCUGUUCAUUCUCAAGCCAGAUCUCGGAAGUGAAUUUUCUUGGAAGGUU
rnacentral:lncRNA from 7 species